AUGUCUGCAUUUUUUACUGCUCCGUUUAAUAUGUAUGCAAAUGCCGGCCGGCUGCGCCCGCCGCGGCCGCACAGUCACACGCGGCGCCCCAUUAAAGCGGCCGUCCGGGCGCGCGCCUCCUUCCAGGCGACCGGCUCGGGCCCUGAUAGAUGGGGUGCGGGGACGGAGACAAAUGACGGGCUUUGAUUUCAGGUGAUGUGGCAGCUGGGGGGCGGCCCUGGAGGAUCACGGGAACACGGAAUGGUCCGCAGAGGAGGCUGCAGCCUCAGGAGAGGCCAUUCCAGAGCCGAGGGCGGACAGACUGACAGUUUUACAUUUGGAUUGUCAGAGAAAUGAAAAGCAAAAGCCCACGAGGUACUACUUCAGAGAAACUCACCAGGGUUGGUGAGGAUGUGGAGAAACUGGAACCUCGCAGUGCGAAGGUGGGGACGGAACCGUGGAGGACUGCGUGGCGUUUCUUCGAGAAAUUAAAAAUAGAAUUCGCAUGUGAUCCAGCAAUCCCACUUCUGGGCAUAGACCCAAAAGAAUGGAAAGCAGGGGCUCAAGCACAUAUAUGCCCACCCGUGUUCACAGCAGCGUCACGCACCAGAGCCCAAAGGUAAAAAUGAGGCGAGAGUCCAUCGGCGGUGGUUGAACAAACUGUGGUCGGCUUGUGUAAGGGAAUAUCAUUCAGCCUUAAAAAGGAAGGCGGUUCUGUGCACCUGCUUCAGGGCGGAUGAACCAGGAGGGUGGACUGCUAAGUGAACUAAGCCAGACCCCAAAGGACAAAUACCGCAUGAUUCCACGUGUGUGGGGCCCCCGGAAGGGGCAAACGCAGAGGGUCAGGGAGUAGAACGGUGGGUGCCAAUGCCUGGGGGGAGGGGGAGUGGGGAGCCGAUGUCUCAUGGCGACAGAGUUCAGCAACACACUGAAGGUUCUGGAGAUGGGCGAGGUGACAGGGGCACAAGAUGGUGAAUGUACUUACGGCUCUUGACCAGCACGCUUAAAAGAUGACAAAUUUAAGAAAGAAAAUCCUGGGGUGCCUGGGUGGCUCAGUCGGUUAAGCAUCUGACUCUUGGUU